UACGAAGGGGGCUAGCGUUGUUCGGAUUUACUGGGCGUAAAGCGCACGUAGGCGGAUUGGUCAGUUAGGGGUGAAAUCCUGGAGCUCAACCCCAGAACUGCCUUUAAUACUGCCAGUCUCGAGUCCGGAAGAGGUAAGUGGAACUCCUAGUGUAGAGGUGGAAUUCGUAGAUAUUAGGAAGAACACCAGUGGCGAAGGCGGCUUACUGGUCCGGUACUGACGCUGAGGUGCGAAAGCGUGGGGAGCAAACAGG
rnacentral:rRNA from 1 species